AGUAACGCGUAGGUAACCUGCCUUGUAGCGGGGGAUAACUAUUGGAAACGAUAGCUAAUACCGCAUAACAAUGGAUGACCCAUGUCAUUUAUUUUGAAAGGGGCAAAUGCUCCACUACAAGAUGGACCUGCGUUGUAUUAGCUAGUAGGUGAGGUAACGGCUCACCUAGGCGACGAUACAUAGCCGACCUGAGAGGGUGAUCGGCCACACUGGGACUGAGACACGGCCCAGACUCCUACGGGAGGCAGCAUG
rnacentral:rRNA from 1 species